rnacentral:misc_RNA from 1 species
GAAAUGCGAUACGUAAUGCGAAUUGCACAACCGCGAGUCAUCAAAUCUUUGAACGCAAAUGGCGAUAGCGCAAGCUAUCAUGUUCGUUUCAGUGUAUCUGGUUACCAACAUCAUAUAUUCAAAUGCGAUUGAAGCAAUUCUCUCGUUGAAUACGGGACAACUUGGCCUGCAAUCAUUAAGCGAAGUAGUCACUAAACAAGUGAUGUCGCAUUAAGCGAUUGCUUGCCUCAAAGAGCUGUCCAUCAAAAACAUAUCCUUUAUAUGAUACCUGAAAUGAGCAAGAAUACCCGCUGAACUUAA